CCUAGUAACGGCGAGUGAAGCGGCAACAGCUCAAAUUUGAAAUCUGGUCGCAAGGCCCGAGUUGUAAUUUGUAGAGGAUGCUUUUGGUGCGGUGCUUCUGAGUUCCCUGGAACGGGACGCCAUAGAGGGUGAGAGCCCCGUAUAGUUGGACACCAAACCUUUGUAUAGCUCCUUCGACGAGUCGAGUAGUUUGGGAAUGCUGCUCAAAAUGGGAGGUAAAAUUCUUCUAAAGCUAAAUACCGGCCAGAGACCGAUAGCGCACAAGUAGAGUGAUCGAAAGAUGAAAAGCACUUUGAAAAGAGGGUUAAAUAGCACGUGAAAUUGUUGAAAGGGAAGCGCCUAUGACCAGACUUGCGCCCGGCGGAUCAUCCAGCGUUCUCGCUGGUGCACUUCGCCGGGCUCAGGCCAGCAUCGGUUCUUCUAGGGGGAUAAAGGUGCUGGGAACGUAGCUCCAUUCGUGGAGUGUUAUAGCCCAGCGCGUAAUGCCCCUGGGGGGACCGAGGACCGCGCUUCUGCAAGGAUGCUGGCGUAAUGGUCAUCAGCGACCCGUCUUGAAACACGGACCAAGGAGUCAAGCAUUAGGGCGAGUGUUUGGGUGUAAAACCCGCACGCGUAAUGAAAGUGAACGUAGAUGAGAGCUUCGGCGCAUCAUCGACCGAUCCUGAUGUAUUCGGAUGGAUUUGAGUAAGAGCCUUACCGCUUGGACCCGAAAGAUGGUGAACUAUGCUUGUAUAGGGUGAAGCCAGAGGAAACUCUGGUGGAGGCUCGCAGCGGUUCUGACGUGCAAAUCGAUCGUCAAAUAUGAGCAUGGGG
rnacentral:rRNA from 1 species